rnacentral:lncRNA from 1 species
AAUUUUUCUUUGGUAUUUUUAAUGGACAAAUGAUUUGAAACAGAUUUUUGUUUUUUCAAAACUGACACAUAUUAUGAGUCUGAUGGAUUAAUUAAUUCUUUUUCACGAAAGGUCGUGUUACUUAAAACCAUAUGAACUAUCAUUAAAAUUGAUAUAAUAAUAAACUUUCAUCAGUCAAACAAUUGAAACAUUCACAUUUAUAACUACAUGUAAAUGGAAUAACAACUAAUCAAUAAAAUACAAUUACAAAUACUUUUAUUAAAACCAUUUAAAAUGUUUCAAUGAAACAUAGGUGGUUUCGUGGUGUAGUUGGUUAUCACGUCAGUCUAACACACUGAAGGUCCCCAGUUCGAGCCUGGGCGAAGCCAAAUGGUGUUAACUCUAAUUUAAAUUUUAAUGCUUACCACUAUAUUUUUGUAAAUUUUACAAUGCAUCAACAUUAAUUUCAAAAGUUAAUUUACAAUUUUGUGAAUCAACUAAAUAAAAUUUAUUUUCUUCAAUGAGCCAAAGAGACAUGUCGUAAGAGAGAAUAUAGCUACAUUACAUAUUAUUUAAAAAUGACUAGGAUGAAGAACGAAGUUGAUUAAGCACUUUGAAGACUAUAGACACAUUGCGAUCAAAACCGUACCAGACAGGCCGCUAUGACUAGUUGAAGAGAAAACGGAACAGUGUCAUGUCCAAUUAAACAUAAUAACCUAUAAAACAAAACCAUAAAAAUCGAUUGCGAACCGCUGAAAUCGAAAAAAAUCAGCGUUUCAGAAGGUUCAUAGUCUGGGAUAUAGAAUAAAUCAUCUUUUCAAGUCUUAUAGAGAGACUGACUCGUCUUUUUAUCUUGAUGAGUGUGGAAGUAAAGGAUAAAAUACUUUAACUGGGUGAUUGCCAAAUGUGGGAGGCAAGAAAAAGAAUAGAAGUUGUUGAAAAGAGAAUAAGUUACCAAACAAUACAAAUCUAUGUUAUCUUUGGUGGAGGCCGAGUAAAUGGAGUAUAGAAUAUUGUUUUCAAUUUAUUAUAGUUGAAGUGGAAUUUAAUGGAUAGUCCCAUACUACCUUUUUUUUAUGUUCACAUUAAAAAAAAUCGUUAUUUAUUUGUGUUAUGAUUAUGUAGUAGUUUAAAGUGUCAUAAAAUUCUUUUUCCAAACUAAAACUUCGUAUUGUGAAUUAAGAGAUUAUGACUAAGUCCUAUGAAUAAUCUUUCUAUUAAAAACAAUUUAAGAUCAAAUACCAAAUUUAUUCCUUGUGUUUAUUUACAAAUUCAAUACUCACUCGUGUAGUACUACCAUAUUUGUAUAAAAUAUGGAAAUUUUAUUUCUUUGGUAAUAAAACAAAUAAAUAUAUCUUAUAUUAAAUUAAAAUUGUCAAAUGAAUUGUUUCCGAUUCGACAUUGGCUCGACUCUAGCCAAAACUUAAAACCUUACACUCUUAUCUACACCAAUUUAUUGUUUGGUUCAGUUUUAACUAUUGUUAUAUAUACAAUGAAUUAGGUAGCAAAAUCCAAAAGUGUUCAACCCAUAAUUAGGUCUCAUACCAUAAUUGACUCUCACAACACUCCUAUUUAAAUAUGUGAUUAAAUUCACUGUUAACUACUUUACUUAACUAGAAUUCAUUUAAAUUCUCAACAUUAUCUAUUACUUAUUUUCUGAACAUAACCCCUAAUUCUUAUUUUCUUUCUUUUCUGAAAUCUAUUUUAUAUAAAUAUACUACUCCAUCAUUCUAAUUUAAAAUUGUCUUUAAUGAUAUUGACAUAUUUCUUAUAUUAAUAGUUAGUUUUGUUGACUUCCAAUAUAAAAUCAAUAUUAUUUAAUAAUAUAUUUUUAAUAAUAGAGGUCAGAGGAAUGCAUAUGUGGGUAAAGGUUUAAAAAAUAAUGGUAACUUUGGGGGGGAAAAUAAUAAUAAAUUUUUCUUUGGUAUUUUUAAUGGACAAAUGAUUUUAAUCAAAUUUUUGUUUUUUCAAAACUGACACAUAUUAUGAGUCUUAUGGAUUAAUUAAUUCUCUUUCGCGAAAGGUCGUGUUACUUAAAACCAUAUGAACUACCAUUAAAAUUGAUAUAAUAAUAAACUUUCAUCAGUCAAACAAUUAAAACAUACACAUUUAUAACUACAGGUAAAUGUAAUAACAAUUAAUCAUCAAAUUACAAAUACAAAUACUUUAAUUAAAACAACUUAAAAUGUUUCAAUCAAAUAUAGGUGGUUUCGUGGUGUAGUUGGUUAUCACGUCGGUCUAACACACUGAAGGUCCCCAAUUAGAGCCUGGACGAAGCCAAAUGGUGUUAACUCUAAUUUAAAUUUUAAUGCUUACCACUAUAUUUUUGUAAAUUUUACAAUGCAUCAACAUUAAUUUCAAAAGUUAAUUUACAAUUUUGUGAAUCAACUAAAUAAAAUUAAAUUUUACAAUGCAUCAACAUUAAUUUCAAAAGUUAAUUUACAAUUUUGUGAAUCAACUAAAUAAAAUUUAUUUUCUUCAAUGAGCCAAAGAGACAUGUCGUAAGAGAGAAUAUAGCUACAUUACAUUUAUUUAAAAAUGACUACGAUGAAGAACGAAGUUGAUUAAUCACUUUGAAGACAAUAGACAUAUUGCGAUCAAAACCGUACCAGACAGGCCGCUAUGACUAGUUGAAGAGAAAACGGAACGGUGUCAUGUCCAAGUAAACAUAAUAACCUAGAAAACAAAACCAUAAAAAUCGAUUGCGAACCGCUGAAAUCGAAAAAAAUCCGCGUUUUAGGAGGUUCAUAGUCUGGGAUAUAGAAUAAAUCAUCUUUUCAAGUCUUAUGGAGAGACUGACUCGUCUUUUUAUCUUGAUGAGUGUGGAAGUAAAGGAUAAAAUACUUUAACUGGGUGAUUGCCAAAUGUGGGAGGCAAGAAAAAGAAUAGAAGUUGUUGAAAAGAGAAUAAGUUACCUCAUUAAAAUUGAUAUAAUAAUAAACUUUCAUCAGUCAAACAAUUAAAACAUACACAUUUAUAACUACAGGUAAAUGUAAUAACAACUAAUCAUCAAAUUACAAUUACAAAUACUUUUAUUAAAACAACUUCAAAUGUUUCAAUCAAACAUAGGUGGUUUCGUGGUGUAGUUGGUUAUCACGUCAAUCUAACACAGAGAAGGUCCCUAACUCGAGCCUGGGCGAAGCCAAAUGGUGUUAACUCUAAUUUAAAUUUUAAUGCUUACCACUAUAUUUUUGUAAAUUUUACAAUGCAUCAACAUUAAUUUCAAAACUUAAUUUACAAUUUUGUGAAUCAACUAAAUAAAAUUUAUUUUCUUCAAUGAGCCAAAGAGACAUGUCGUAAGAGAGAAUAUAGCUAAAUUACAUAUUAUUUAAAAAUGACUACGAUGAAGAACGAAGUUGAUUAAGCACUUUGAAGACUAUAGACACAUUGCGAUCAAAACCGUACCAGACAGGGCGCUAUGACUAGUUGAAGAGAAAACGGAACGGUGUCAUGUCCAAUUAAACAUAAUAACCUAGAAAACAAAACCAUAAAAAUGAUUGUGAACCGCUGAAAUCGAAAAAAAUCAGCGUUUCAGGAGGUUCAUAGUCUGGGAUAUAGAAUAAAUCAUCUUUUCAAGUCUUAUGGAGACAUUGACUCGUCUUUUUAUCUUGAUGAGUGUGGAAGUAAAGGAUAAAAUACUUUAACUGGGUGAUUGCCAAAUGUGGGAGGCAAGAAAAAGAAUAGAAGUUGUUGAAAAGAGAAUAAGUUACCAAACAAUACAAAUCUAUGUUAUCUUUGGUGGAGGCCGAGUAAAUGGAGUAUAGAAUAUUGUUUUCAAUUUAUUAUAGUUGAAGUGGAAUUUAAUGGAUAGUCCCAUACUACCUUUUUUUUAUGUUCACAUUAAAAAAAAUCGUUAUUUAUUUGUGUUAUGAUUAUGUAGUAGUUUAAAGUGUCAUAAAAUUCUUUUUCCAAACUAAAACUUCGUAUUGUGAAUUAAGAGAUUAUGACUAAGUCCUAUGAAUAAUCUUUCUAUUAAAAACAAUUUAAGAUCAAAUACCAAAUUUAUUCCUUGUGUUUAUUUACAAAUUCAAUACUCACUCGUGUAGUACUACCAUAUUUGUAUAAAAUAUGGAAAUUUUAUUUCUUUGGUAAUAAAACAAAUAAAUAUAUCUUAUAUUAAAUUAAAAUUGUCAAAUGAAUUGUUUCCGAUUCGACAUUGGCUCGACUCUAGCCAAAACUUAAAACCUUACACUCUUAUCUACACCAAUUUAUUGUUUGGUUCAGUUUUAACUAUUGUUAUAUAUACAAUGAAUUAGGUAGCAAAAUCCAAAAGUGUUCAACCCAUAAUUAGGUCUCAUACCAUAAUUGACUCUCACAACACUCCUAUUUAAAUAUGUGAUUAAAUUCACUGUUAACUACUUUACUUAACUAGAAUUCAUUUAAAUUCUCAACAUUAUCUAUUACUUAUUUUCUGAACAUAACCCCUAAUUCUUAUUUUCUUUCUUUUCUGAAAUCUAUUUUAUAUAAAUAUACUACUCCAUCAUUCUAAUUUAAAAUUGUCUUUAAUGAUAUUGACACAUUUCUUAUAUUAAUAGUUAGUUUUGUUGAUUUCCAAUAUAAAAUCAAUAUUAUUUAAUAAUAUAUUUUUAAUAAUAGUAGUCACAGGAAUGCAUAUGUGGGUAAAGGUUUAAAAAAUAAUGGUAACCUUGGGGGGGAAAUAAUAAUAAAUUUUUCUUUGGUAUUUUUAAUGGACAAAUGAUUUGAAACAGAUUUUUGUUUUUUCAAAACUGACACAUAUUAUGAGUCUGAUGGAUUAAUUAAUUCUUUUUCACGAAAGGUCGUGUUACUUAAAACCAUAUGAACUAUCAUUAAAAUUGAUAUAAUAAUAAACUUUCAUCAGUCAAACAAUUGAAACAUUCACAUUUAUAACUACAUGUAAAUGGAAUAACAACUAAUCAAUAAAAUACAAUUACAAAUACUUUUAUUAAAACCAUUUAAAAUGUUUCAAUGAAACAUAGGUGGUUUCGUGGUGUAGUUGGUUAUCACGUCAGUCUAACACACUGAAGGUCCCCA